CUAAGUUUGAUGGCGACCGGCGCACGGGUGAGUAACACGUAUCCAACCUGCCGAUGACUCGGGGAUAGCCUUUCGAAAGAAAGAUUAAUACCCGAUGGCAUAGUUCUUCCGCAUGGUAGGACUAUUAAAGGAUUUCGGUCAUCGAUGGGGAUGCGUUCCAUUAGGUUGUUGGCGGGGUAACGGCCCACCAAGCCUUCGAUGGAUAGGGGUUCUGAGAGGAAGGUCCCCCACAUUGGAACUGAGACACGGUCCAAACUCCUACGGGAGGCAGCAUG
rnacentral:rRNA from 1 species